GUUUUCAAUUUGCAACGUUGAAUGUGCAAUGCCAUAUUUUUCUUUCAACAAUGAUGAUACUUGAUCAAUCGCUUGAUAAUCAUCGCCAUCAUAUUUUUUAUCUAACACAACAUGGGCGCUUAAUGAAUAAUGCUCUGUUGUAAUACUCC
rnacentral:snRNA from 1 species